AGUCGAGCGAGGCGGCCCGCAAGGGUCAGUCGAGCGGCGAACGGGUGAGUAACGCGUGGAUAACCUGCCCAGAGGUGGGGGAUAACCCGGGGAAACUCGGGCUAAUACCGCAUAUGACCGUGAGGUCAAAGGCGGCUCGCAAGGGCUGUCGCCAUUGGAGGGGUCCGCGUCCGAUUAGCUAGUUGGUAGGGUAAUGGCCUACCAAGGCUACGAUCGGUAGCCGGCCUGAGAGGGUGAUCGGCCACACUGGAACUGAGACACGGUCCAGACUCCUACGGGAGGCAGCAGUGGGGAAUUUUGCGCAAUGGGCUAACGCCUGACGCAGCAACGCCGCGUGGAGGAUGAAGGUCUUUGGAUUGUAAACUCCUGUCAGCAGGGAAAAAGCAACUCGGCCUAACACGCCGGGGAGUUGAUUGUACCUGCAGAGGAAGCCCCGGCUAACUCUGUGCCAGCAGCCGCGGUAAUACAGAGGAGGCAAGCGUUAUUCGGAAUUAUUGGGCGUAAAGGGCGCGUAGGCGGCUUGGCAAGUGGAUGGUGAAAUCCCUCGGCUUAACCGAGGAACUGCCGUCCAAACUGCUUAGCUUGAGACCGGGAGAGGUGAGUGGAAUUCCCAGUGUAGCGGUGAAAUGCGUAGAUAUUGGGAGGAACACCAGUGGCGAAGGCGGCUCACUGGACCGGAACUGACGCUGAUGCGCGAAAGCGUGGGGAGCAAACGGGAUUAGAUACCCCGGUAGUCCACGCCGUAAACGAUGAGUGCUUGGUGUAGCGGGUAUCGACCCCUGCUGUGCCGAAGUCAACACAUUAAGCACUCCGCCUGGGGAGUACGG
rnacentral:rRNA from 1 species